GAUGAACGCUGGCGGCGUGCCUAAUACAUGCAAGUCGAGCGAAGCGGGCACGGGUGAGUAACACGUGGAUAACCUCCUAUAAGACUGGGAUAACUUCGGGAAACCGGAGCUAUACCGGAUACUUAUAGAUUGAUCCGCGCUGAAUUAGCUAGUUGGUAAGGUAACGGCUAACAAAGCCAACGAUGCAUAGCCGACCGGGGAGGGUGAUCGGCAACACUGGAACGGAGACACGGUCCAGACUCCUGCGGGAGGCAGCAGUAGGGAAUCUUCCGCAAUGGGCGAAAGCCUGACGGAGCAACGCCGCGUGAGUGAUGAAGGUCUUCGGAUCGUAAAACUCUGUUAUUAGGGAAGCGGUACCUAAUCAGAAAGCCACGGCUAACUACGUGCCAGCAGCCGCGGUAAUAC
rnacentral:rRNA from 1 species